CAGUCGCCGCGGUAAUACGAAGGGGGCUAGCGUUGCUCGGAAUUACUGGGCGUAAAGGGCGCGUAGGCGGACAGUUCAGUCGGGGGUGAAAGCCCGGGACUCAACCUCGGAAUUGCCUUCGAUACUGGCUGUCUUGAGUAUGAGAGAGGUGUGUGGAACUCCGAGUGUAGAGGUGAAAUUCGUAGAUAUUCGGAAGAACACCAAUGGCGAAGGCGACACACUGGCUCAUUACUGACGCUGAGGCGCGAAAGCGUGGGGAGCAAACAGGAUUAGAUACCCCUGUAGUCCCUGUCUCUUAUAC
rnacentral:rRNA from 1 species